GCUUUCUGCAAUACGUAUGAUCACGUAGUGCUUUCUAUAAGUACGGUGUAUCUUUGUGCAGUGGGUAGCUGCACCCGGGGGAAGUGCUGGCCUCCCCCUGCAGGGAGAGGAAAGCAGUGCAUGAUGGACUCUUUUUAUGUGGGACUGAACCAAUCAGAACUUCAAAAGUGUAUUGCUGAAAUGUUUAGACACAGAAUUUAGUCAAGACUGAUGCAUGUUAAUGCUAUUGUGUGCAGACAUCCACAGGUGUAGAAAGGCCCCUCUGAACAAAUUGGUCGUGAGUCCAAAUGCUGAUAAGGAUAUAGGUUUGCUGUUGUGAUCAACAGAACAUUCUCCUCAACUUGAAAAAAGUAUAAAAGUUGGAGCUGGGAUGGCAGAUUUGCUCAGUGAAGUUGAUGGACCUCAGGCUCCUCAUUCUUGUUUCUCCAUCAUUCUAGCAUCUUGGCAAAGUGGUGUGGGACCUGGGAGUUAAUGUCCAGCUGCAUUCUAGCCAACAGGAAGACGUGAACGUGGGGGAGAAUGGGAGAAUGAGCCUCCUCCUAUUUCUUCAAGACCUACAGGAUCCGAACAAAACCACAGUUACUUCGCCAAGGAACAAUGCGACCAACCACAGCCGCACAGUUCUCAGCAAAUUUAUGAAUGUGUUUCCCCAAGGAACGUGUUCUGGGCAUAGACCAAGGGGUCAGGCCUUUUAUUUAGUGAGUGAGUUUACUUUAGCAGUUUCUCCCUUAGAAAUAGGAAUCUGUAACUUUCAGUCUUUUGAGCAUAUUUUUAAAGAGUCAUCCAAAAUACUUCUUAAAAAACGCAACUAUUUUUAGGUGCAAUGAAUUGCCCUUGGCAAUGCAAGUAUUGUGUGACCAUCCCUAGGUCAAUUGCUCUUUAAAGUUUUGGUCUUUUGCUCUUAAAGUUUGGUCUUGGGACGGUUUGUGGCUUCACUUUUUUUUUUUUUAUUUAUAUUGCCCUUAAAGUAAUGGGCCUUUAUUCUUGGGAUAACUCUCAAUGAUAUUCAUAUCAAAGGUCAAGGUUAAGUCUCCUUGGAAUGGUACUGAUUGCUGUUAUACAAUCUGCCCAUGGCACUGAAGCCCAUAGAGAUGUGGAGACCAUGAGAAGACUCUCACAGUAAAAGGAAAUGUUGAUGAGCUCACCCUACUAGAGGGAAUUUGGCCCUGGGGAACAUGGCUCCAAGCUUAGAUUGUGGCCUUAAUGGAAACCUCUUGGAAUUUUCUUGAAUCCACUGCUCAACAGUGCUAAUAGAGAAUUAGUUGGAUGCGAUCGGUCAAGGGGACAGGCUGCUUCUAUGAUGGUGAUGGCCCUGGGUGUGACAUAGAAGGGAUAAAGUGAUUCCAGUGAAUGAGAUGAGGAUGCUGGGAGGAGGCGUACGGGACAGAAGACCUGGCUAUACUUCUUUGAUUAGGGCUUUGUAGUCAUCAGUAGACUAGGAAGUGAGAUUCUCUUUUGCACCCAUAAGAAACUGACUUUUGUGAAUGUGCGUCCAUAAAUAGGAAAUAAAUACACCAAAAGCCUUGUAAACGUGAAUGGU
rnacentral:lncRNA from 1 species